rnacentral:rRNA from 1 species
UACGUAGGGUGCGAGCGUUGUCCGGAAUCAUUGGGCGUAAAGAGCGCGUAGGCGGUCCGGUAAGUCCGCUGUGAAAGUCAAGGGCUCAACCCUUGAAUGCCGGUGGAUACUGCCGGGCUAGAGUCCGGAAGAGGCGAGUGGAAUUCCAGGUGUAGCGGUGAAAUGCGUAGAUAUCUGAAGGAACACCAGUGGCGAAAGCGACUUCCUGGACCAAUACUGACGCUCAUGUGCGAAAGCGUGGGGAGCAAACAGG